AUCUUGAGCCAAGAGGGUGACCGUCUCUUCAUCCCUCUGGAUCAAGUGAUGGGAAGCCGGUUGAUCUUUAGCCUUCCUCUUGCUCCUCUCCACAUCCUGAAGCGAGGGCUGGACUUUAUAGCCCACACUGGCUUGUAAAGCUACUAGUGAUGGGAAAGAGUCGCGGCUGCAGGCCUGCUCGCUCGCUCUUCAGUGGAGGCCUGAAUCACUGCAGCAAUCUGUUUGGAGCCUUCCAGCUCCAGAAAGAACAAGACAAAGUGGACUGGAUCAGUAGCUACUCUUACAACCAUGUUGUGCCCGCUUAGAGAAGCAGUCAGCACUGAAAUGAGCUGAAUCGUCAGACACACAUCAGUGUUUUCACACCUGGAUCAUUUGGAGGAGUUGCUCUGAGACAGAGGGUGUUUCCCUCCUUGGCCAACAAAACAAGCAAUUGACCCAGCAAAUGGAACAAAUAGCUGCAUGUUACUUGUUACUUCCCAUCUCCAUCCAUUUCAACAUCAGAAGAAGAGCUAGUGUAAGCUGUAGCAACAUCACAGGACUUGACAAUAUUUUCAGGUUCAACAACUGGUCCAGUGUGUCAAGUUGGCCUCAUACCUUAACAUGCUGCUGUCAGAGAUUCUUGGCAUUUGCGUGACUCUGCUCGGCAGCCCCUCUUAAUUUUGUGAGUGGUGUCCAUCUUUUGCCAAAUAUGCUCAUGUGUCCAAAUAUCCAUGAGGCAUUUGACCUCCUCGCUGCUGCAAGUCAACCCACGACUCAUUUUGUUGGUAGGUUAACGGCUCCCGUUACUUGGCGUCUUCGAGCCAAGAUAGUCCCUGACACCAUGUGGAUUGUUACAUCUGGCCCAACAGUAAGGGUUAGGGGAAGUGUCAGGGUGGUAUAAGGUGAAGUAAUGUUCAGGGCACGAUUUCUAUCAGGGAUAAGUACCUUGGCACGACUCCAACUUCUCAGAAUGACUCACAGCCCCUUGAUGGUGUGUACUUUUGGUUAACAAUAUUGCAGAGUGAACACAAAGUGACCCAAGAGAAAAAUGCAACAAAGAGAUACAGGUGUGAAAAGCACCCUCCAAAAGUCAUAUUCAAAAACAAAACUUCAGCCAAGAGUCUCUAUACUUACUUUAGGAUAAGAUGAGGAACGUAAUCUAAGAGCUUCCUGACAUUCAAUGGUCAUGAAGUGUUUCCUCUAAGCUCAGCAACAUUAUUACUGCAUGUGUUGUAUAGUCUUGUUUAUAAAGUUAACACAAUAUAAAAGGUUGGAUGGUGGGUCUAAAGCAUAGACUGUAUAAAAAUUUUCCGUA